rnacentral:rRNA from 1 species
GGGAUAACUACUUGUAAACGGUAGCUAAUACCGCAUAACGUCGCAAGACCAAAGAGGGGGACCUUCGGGCCUCUUGCCAUCGGAUGUGCCCAGAUGGGAUUAGCUAGUAGGUGGGGUAACGGCUCACCUAGGCGACGAUCCCUAGCUGGUCUGAGAGGAUGACCAGCCACACUGGAACUGAGACACGGUCCAGACUCCUACGGGAGGCAGCAGUGGGGAAUAUUGCACAAUGGGCGCAAGCCUGAUGCAGCCAUGCCGCGUGUAUGAAGAAGGCCUUCGGGUUGUAAAGUACUUUCAGCGGGGAGGAAGGCGAUAAGGUUAAUAACCUUGUCGAUUGACGUUACCCGCAGAAGAAGCACCGGCUAACUCCGUGCCAGCAGCCGCGGUAAUACGGAGGGUGCAAGCGUUAAUCGGAAUUACUGGGCGUAAAGCGCACGCAGGCGGUCUGUCAAGUCGGAUGUGAAAUCCCCGGGCUCAACCUGGGAACUGCAUUCGAAACUGGCAGGCUAGAGUCUUGUAGAGGGGGGUAGAAUUCCAGGUGUAGCGU